rnacentral:rRNA from 1 species
UACAGAGGGUGCGAGCGUUAAUCGGAAUUACUGGGCGUAAAGCGUGCGCAGGCGGUUGUGCAAGACAGAUGUGAAAUCCCCGGGCUUAACCUGGGAACUGCAUUUGUGACUGCACGGCUAGAGUGUGUCAGAGGGGGGUAGAAUUCCACGUGUAGCAGUGAAAUGCGUAGAGAUGUGGAGGAAUACCGAUGGCGAAGGCAGCCCCCUGGGAUAACACUGACGCUCAUGCACGAAAGCGUGGGGAGCAAACAGG